GUCUCUGUAACGCAAUGGAUGGCUUGUUGAACUACGAAUCCAAAGGUCGUGAGUUAGAAUCCCACCUGGGACG